ensembl:lncRNA
CUAUUGCAUUCACAUUAUUUCAGACCUCAAUUCCUUUUAAUUCUUCAUUAUUUGGUUUUCUUUGCUGUUUUCUUUCAAUCUGUUUCUCUGACAGGGUUUGAAGACCCUUUAGAAUCCUAGCCAACAAAGGACUAUGUUCUAAAAAAUCUGUAUGCUCAGAUUAAUGUAAAGGCUCUAAUUUGGCAAGAGCAAAGUUUGUUUUUAUUGGUACUGCUAGCAUUGAUAAGUAGAUAUCAUUUUCCCUCUUCCUUGGUUGCUUUGGUGCAUCUGUUAAUGCUAUUAAUCACAAGUUAAACUGAAACUACUUCUAGACCACACACACACACACACACACACACACACAGAGAGAGAGAGAGAGAGAGAGAGAGAGAGAGAGAGAGAGAGAGAGUUUUCUAAGAGGAUAUCUGUCUAUAAUGUUGUAGACAUUCUAAUGUUUGGCAGUUACAUGAGGUGCUUUUCCCCUGAAGCUACUUCAAGUUCAUUCUGAUACAUAGCAGUAAGAGAAGAACAAAUACUGAGAAAAUUUUCAGGUACUUGCAAUAUAUUUCAUGGUCUGACUAUUACAGGUUGCAUUAGAGUAAUGAUCUCUGACCAUACUUUCAACUUGGCAUUGCAAAUCCAGUGAGCAUCAGGCAGACAAUAUUAUCCAGGAUGUCAUUUCUCCGUAUUCAUGGGGACCGAAUGAUAAAUACCUCAAUUCCUCCACAUCUCUUUGCCGAGACUGCUGUUUCUAGUGAAAAGAUAUUUCUUUGAGUUUCCUUUAAAUCUUACAUGUUUUUAACUCAUCUUAAAAUAAUUUUCUCUUUGGCCUACAAUUUGGUGGUAUUAAAAUAGGAGAAACCACACCCACAGGCCCCUGAUGGUCAAUUAUUACUUUUGCCUGGAUUUUCCUGAUUCAACUCAGUUUGGUUGCUGUGCUAUGGAGAGUUUCACAAGAUAAAUUGCCUCCCUUUGGCUAUGUCGUUUUCUUCAAUUACACAAACAGCAGCCUGAAAAUCUGGAGGAGAUGAGAACUACAAGAAUUCUGGGAGAUGCUAACGAUUAACGCCUGCAUUAUUACUCUCUGGAGGUUCUUCAAACUCAGAGUCCCUCAUGGCAUUGUCAGAAUAGCAAAGUGACACAGAAGUAGUCUGCAGUUAGGCAUUCUCCAGCUGCCAGUAUAAUGCCUUCCCUGUUCACAGAGCUGUUUGCCCCCAGAGUCCCAUGACAUGCAUGGAAUCAACAGACACUGUGUGACCAUGAUGGGUUUAAAUAGAUCUAAUCACUCUGGAAGGCAGAUAGCUGUGAAAAAUCUUGUUACCCUGGGAAGGAAGCCUAUCUUUCUCUAAUAAAACAGAAUGUAGUUACUGUACUCUUCAUUUCCUAAAGCACUCUCCUUUGUGUUAUUAAUUUUUUGAAAGUGCAAGUUUGAGAAACCCUUUAGAGACACUGAGCUUAUCAACUCUAUUCAUCUUCUGACAGAAAAAUUCCUUUAUCAAAAUAAUGCUUUUGAAACACUAUUUUACUAGUGGUCCUCCAAGGAUAGCAAGUUCUGCCUAUGUGUCUAUUCAUCUCUAUUAACAGUAAAACUCAUAAUGAUAUGGCUGUUUAAAAAAAAGGAAAAAAAAAGAAAAGAGAAAGUGUCUUCAAACAUUCAGGACUGAGGGCUGGUGCUUUGUCAAUAAUUAUUUCAUUUUAUAAGUAUUAUUGUUUGGCUUGCAUGUGUAUUUGUGCAUGGUGUGCCUCUCUGGUACCCCAGAUGCCAGAAAGGGUGUAGGAUACGGCAGAACUGGAGUUACAGAGGAUUAUGGGCAGGCUUGUGGGUGCUGGGAAUUGAACCCGGGUCAUCUGGAAGGGCAGGCAGUCAGUGGUGCUAUUCUCCACUGAGAAAUCUCUCCAGCCACUCCUUUAGUACUCUUGUACUUAUAUUUUCAAGCUUUUUGACUUGAAAGAAAUUCCUAGGAGUAUAGUAUUUUCUCUUAGAGAAAAGUGGCUAUUUACUGACAAUAUUUAGAUAAGGAACAGAACAAUAUGCAUAUUUGGGUUUCAUUUUUGUAUAUGAGGGAAACAAAGGCAGGGAAUCACAAGAUGGAACUGAUGUCACACCCAAGAAGUGAAAGCCUCACAGAAGAUUAUGGAAAGGUCAUGGGCUUGGGAAUUGCUCUCAUCAAUUAAAGUAUUUUUCUGGUCAAUUGCAUUGGACAGAAUUAUUUCUAUUUCUAUUUAUAAAAUAUUAAAAAUAAAUAUUUCUUUUUGUGCAAGACCAAAGAAAGAUUCAGAUUCAUUUGGUCAAACAUAUAAGUUAGUGUCCUAUGCUAUGAUAUGUACUGAAUAAAUGUGAGCCUUUCUAAUGGUUCUCUAUAUUGAGUUACUUCUUAUUUGUUCUAUCUCCAGGGUAUUUCCUGUUUUGUCAUGAUUUGUAUGAAACUUCAUUGAAAAACUGUGUAGUUCAAGAAUUUCUCCUAUCUCUCUGGUAGGUGUUAGUAGUUAGACAUAUGCACUGGUCUGUCCUUGGGUUUCUGACAGCAUACGCCCUCAGUUGCAGUCACUAAGAGCACCACUUUUGCAUAUUCACUAUGUUUCCUUUUAAAAGAGUCUGCUCACCUUCCAUCCUCCUCUCUCUUUCUUUCUCUCUCUCUUUCUCUCUCUGUCUUUCUGUGUCUCUGUGUCUUUCUCUGUCUCUCUCCAUCUCUCUCUGUCUCUGUCUCUGUCUCUGUCUCUGUCUCUCUCUCUCUGUUCCCCUCUUUCCUUUCUCAUGCUGUUCCUGUCUCAGGAGGCUGGUUUCCCUGAUGGCCUUUCCACAUUUUCUGAUUCAUUUCCCUAAUAAAAAACAAAACAAAACAAAACAAAACAAACUCUAUAUUUGAACCCUGUUGCACAGUUGCAUGUUGUUACUCUCAUUCACCCCUUUUCUGGGGCCCAGCAAUCCAUGAUGUAGAUUACUCUGUUAUGCACUACAGUUUGGGCAUCAAUGUUUAAGUAAAAAUAAACUCUCACAUGAAGGCUAAGUAUGAAUGCUCUAGGAUGGCACAUAAGUUAGUAAAAAAUCUCAUUAUCAGUAGGGGGCCAUUUAAGGUAACCUCUCCUCUGUUGCUUAGAUUGUUAGUUGGUGUUAUCCUUGUAGAUUUCCUAACAUUUACCUUGUGCCUGAUUUCUCUUUAAACAUAUAAUGGCUCCCUCUAUUAUGGUAUCUCUUAUCUUGCUUGAAUUUAUUCUUCCCCUGACUCAACUUUCCUGCUCCCUCAUGUCCUCCUCACCCCUCCUUUUCUUCCCUUCUCAUUCUCCUAGCUCCCUCUUUCCUCCCCCCAUGCUCCCAAUUUGCUCAGGAUAUCUUGUCCAUCCUAGAGCCUUCAUCCAGCAGCUGAUGGAAGUAGAAGCAGACACCCAUGGCUAAACACUGAACUGAACUGGAAUCCAGUUGCAGAGAAGGAGGAAUGAUGAGCAAAGUGGUCAAGACCAGGCUGGUGAAACCCAUGGAAACAGCUGACCUGAACAAGAGGGAGUUCAUGAUCCCCAGACUGAUAGCUGGGAAACCAGCAGACCCCAUGAACAUGGCUCCUUCAUCCAGCAGCUGGUGGAAGUAGAAGCAGACACCAACAACUAAUCAUUGAACUGAACUGGAAUCCAGUUGCAGAUAAGAAUAAGUGAUGGGCAAAGGGGUCCAGACCAGGCUGGUGAAACCCACAGAAAUAGCUGAUCUGAACAAUGGGGAGCUCUUGGUCCCUAGACUGAUAGCUAGGAUACCAGCAUGGGACUGAUCCAGACCCCAGGAAUGUGGGUUUCAGUGAGGAGACCUUGGAAAUCUACGGGACCUCCUGUAGUAGUUCAGUACUUAUCCUUAGCAUAGGUGUGGAUUUUGGGAGCCCAAUCCACAUAGAGGGAUACUCCUCCUUGAAUCAAGACACAUGGGGGUGGGCCUAGGCCCUAUCCCAAAGGACAUAAUGGACUCUGAUGACCUCCUAUGGAGGUCUUCACCCUCCCUGGGGAGCAGAAAGGAUAUGUGAUAGGUAAGGUAUUAAUUGGGAGGGGGUGAUAGGGAAGGAGGGGAGGGAGUGGGAACUGGGAUUGACAUGUAAAACAAUCUUGCUUGUAAUUCAAAUAAAAAAAUUUAAAAAAAUGAUACUCAAUCUAAAAAGAAGCUUCUGAAGACAGGAAUGGAACCUUGGCAGCCACAGUGCCUUUCUCUCUCUUUUGGACAGUUUUGCAUCUAGCUUCCUUGCUGAUCCAAGAGAAUAGCCACAGAAAGCAAAGUGGGAUCUCUUCUGCAGGAUUUUUAUAUUUUCAUUUUAAUUCCUUCACUCUCUAUAUUCAAAAAUAAUGAGAAAAAUGUCUUUGCUCUGGAAAUUUUUUUUAGUCUAGCUAAGGGAAAGAGAAAACCUUCAUUAAAAUAAUGAAGCAAUUCCAACUUGAUUAAUUGUGUCCCAAAGCCAUUGAUGUCCACAGGUAAUGAAAACACUCAACUGCCUAAGCUCAGGCUGGGGGAUAAAGUCAGUUGCCCAGUUUUCAGAAACUGUGCUGUGGAGGAGGGAACAAGCUUUGGCAUAGCCAAACUUAGAUGAAUGAUCUGUUUCAUUUUGUGCUGCAGCUGGAUCAAUUUGGUCACCAGGAGUAGACAGAUUUCAUCUGAACCUUGUGACAGAAAUUCAUUUGGCACAGAGAAAUCAUUGAGGGAUUUGCAAUGCUUGUUGUCAAGGAAAUGAAUUUAAACACAGAAAAGGGGAAAAUCUUUUACUUAAGCAAGCAUGAUGGAAGGAAAGGAAAUGAAGGCUCACCGGAUACUUAAAGCUAUUCUGUCAGCUAAAUGUAUUUGAUGAGCACUUGAGCAUUGCCAUGGCCUACUAUGUAUGCUUACCUAGUAAUCUUGGCCAACUCUAUGUUUCUCAAGAGAGAAAUGUAAAUCCGUGAACCCACACUAUUAGUGUAAUUGUUUUAAAUUAAAAUAAAUAAACAUGUGAG